rnacentral:rRNA from 1 species
GCAGUCGAACGCUGUAGCAAUACAGAGUGGCAGACGGGUGAGUAACGCGUGGGAACCUUCCCCGUGGUACGGAAUAGCUCAGGGAAACUUGAGGUAAUACCGUAUAAGCCCCUAGGGGGAAAGAUUUAUCGCCGUUGGAUGGGCCCGCGUCGGAUUAGCUAGUUGGUGAGGUAAUGGCUCACCAAGGCGACGAUCCGUAACUGGUUUGAGAGAAUGACCAGCCACACUGGGACUGAGACACGGCCCAGACUCCUACGGGAGGCAGCACUGGGGAAUAUUGGACAAUGGGCGAAAGCCUGAUCCAGCCAUGCCGCGUGAGUGACGAAGGCCUUAGGGUUGUAAAGCUCUUUUGGCGGGGACAAUAAUGACGGUACCCGCAGAAUAAAUCCCGGCUAACUUCGUGCCAGCACCCGCGGUAAUACGAAGGGGACUAGCGUUGUUCGGAAUUACUGGGCGUAAAGCGCACGUAUGCGGAAUUGUAAGUCAGGGGUGAAAUCCCGGGGCUCAACCUCGGAACUGCCUUUGAUACUGCAAGUCUCGAGUCCGAUAGAGGUGGGUGGAGUUCCUAGUGUAGAGGUGAAAUUCUUAGAUAUUAUGAAGAACACCGGUGGCGAAGGCGGCCCACUGGAUCGGUACUGACGCUGAGGUGCGAAAACGUGGGGAGCAAACAGGAUUAUAUACCCUGGUAGUCCACGCCGUAAACUAUGGAUGCUAGCCGCCAGCAAGCUUGCUUGUCUGGUGGCUGCAGCUCACGCAUUAAGCAUCCCGCCUGGGGAGUACGGCCGCAACGUUAAAGACUCAAAGGAAUUGACUGGG